rnacentral:rRNA from 1 species
GACGAGGGGUCCAAGCGUUGUUCGGAAUCAUUGGGCGUAAAGCGGGUGUAGGUGGCUCUGUAAGUCAGGAAGUGAAAGCCCCCGAGCUUAACUUGGGAAGUAGCUUUUGAUACUGCUGAGCUUGAAUGUGGGAGAGGAUGUGGAAUUCCAGUGUAGUGGUGAAAAUACGUAGAUAUCUGGAGGAACACCGGUGGCGAAAGGCGGCAUCCUGGACCGGUAUUGACGCUGAGGCGCGAAAGCCAGGGGGAGCAAACGGG